UAAAGAAUGUGACAAGGUCUUUGGGCGC
rnacentral:piRNA from 1 species